UACGAAGGGGGCUAGCGUUGUUCGGAAUUACUGGGCGUAAAGCGUGCGCAGGCGGCUUCUCAAGUCAGGGGUGAAAGCCCAGAGCUCAACUCUGGAAUUGCCUUUGAGACUGAGUGGCUUGAGUACGAGAGAGGUGAGUGGAAUUCCCAGUGUAGAGGUGAAAUUCGUAGAUAUUGGGAAGGAACACCGGUGGCGAAGGCGGCUCACUGGCUCGUAACUGACGCUCAUGCACGACAGCGUGGGGAUCAAACAGG
rnacentral:rRNA from 1 species